rnacentral:piRNA from 2 species
CUGGCAGGGGAGAUACCAUGAUC